UACGAAGGGGGCGAGCGUUGUUCGGAUUUACUGGGCGUAAAGGGCGCGCAGGCGGCUCAUUUUGUCAGGCGUGAAAGCCCCGGGCUUAACCUGGGAACUGCGUCUGAUACUGGAUGGCUUGAGUUCGGGAGAGGGAUGCGGAAUUCCAGGUGUAGCGGUGAAAUGCGUAGAUAUCUGGAGGAACACCGGUGGCGAAGGCGGCAUCCUGGACCGACACUGACGCUGAUGAGCGAAAGCCAGGGGAGCAAACGGG
rnacentral:rRNA from 1 species